AGUUUAAUAGACUCUCCAUUUCCACUCCUAGAAAUGAGAAAAGUUUUGUUACUUUUGGAAUGAUCGGACGGGGAGAUGUGUAUAUGAAAUAGGGGGUAACAGAAUAUGAAAUUAGUAUGCAUGGGAAAAUGGAAUAAGGUAAUUAAAUUUUAUGCACCCUUGCAACGUCCACUGCCCAUGCAACUCGCAUGCUCACGUCGCUGAUUAGUGCUUGUAGCAGUAGGAUGUGUUGGAGGAGGGUGGCCACCGCAUCCCCAGCCCCAGGGCCCCCAACAGCCUCCCUGGCCGCCGCCGCCUCCUCCUCCUCCUCCGCCCCCACCACCUCCUCCACCUCCACCGCCCCCGCCACCUCCACCUCCACCUCCCCCGCCACCACCACCACCCCUGCCCCCUCCCCAUCCAUAACCUUUCCCAUUUCCUCCUCCACCACCACCACCACCACCGCCGCCGCCGCCGCCACCUCCUCCUCCUCCCCCUCCACCCCC
rnacentral:lncRNA from 1 species